UACAGAGACUGCAAGCGUUAUUCGGAUUCACUGGGCGUAAAGGGUGCGCAGGCGGCCGUUGUGUGUGAGGCGUGGAAAGCCCGGAGCUCGAACUCCGGAACUGCCUUUAAAAACUGCAUCGCUUGAAUCCAGGAGAGGUGAGUGGAAUUCCGAGUGUAGAGGUGAAAUUCGUAGAUAUUCGGAAGAACACCAGUAGCGAAGGCGGCUCACUGGACUGGUAUUGACGCUGAGGUGCGAAAGCGUGGGGAGCAAACAGGG
rnacentral:rRNA from 1 species